UGGGGAAUAUUGGGCAAUGGAGGGAACUCUGACCCAGCCAUGCCGCGUGCGGGAUGAAGGCGUUAUGCGUUGUAAACUGCUUUUAUAUAGGAAGAAAUAGUCCUUGCGAGGAAAGUUGACGGUACUAUAUGAAUAAGCACCGGCUAACUCCGUGCCAGCAGCCGCGGUAAUACGGAGGGUGCAAGCGUUAAUCGGAAUUACUGGGCGUAAAGCGCGCGUAGGUGGUUAGUUAAGUUGGAUGUGAAAUCCCCGGGCUCAACCUGGGAACUGCAUUCAAAACUGACUGACUAGAGUGUAGCAGAGGGGGGUGGAAUUCCACGUGUAGCAGUGAAAUGCGCAGAGAUGUGGAGGAACACCUGAGGUGAAGACGGGUUGCUGGGCUGACACUGACGCUGAGGCGCGAAAGCCAGGGGAGCAAACGGGGAUUAGAUACCCAUGUAGUCCCUGAGCGGGCUGGCAAGGCGCAU
rnacentral:rRNA from 1 species